rnacentral:ncRNA from 1 species
AAGUGAAGGACCUUAUCUUCGGAGUGGGACAACAGCUCGAAACGGUUGCUAGUACCCAUAGGCUGAAGAGCAAAAGGACUAAUCCGCCUGAUGAGGGGCUUGCUUCUUAUUACCUAGUUGGGGAGGUUGUAAAAGAUUACGAAGGCGACGAUCAGUACCUGGUCUGAGAGGAUGAUCAGC